UACGAAGGGGGCUAGCGUUAAUCGGAAUUACUGGGCGUAAAGCGUGCGUAGGCGGUUCGUUAAGUCUGUUGUGAAAGCCCCGGGCUCAACCUGGGAAUGGCAAUGGAUACUGGCGAGCUAGAGUGUGUCAGAGGAUGGUGGAAUUCCCGGUGUAGCGGUGAAAUGCGUAGAGAUCGGGAGGAACAUCAGUGGCGAAGGCGGCCAUCUGGGACAACACUGACGCUGAGGCACGAAAGCGUGGGGAGCAAAC
rnacentral:rRNA from 1 species